CAGGUUAGUGAACUCAGGACCAGGACCAGCUGGAUGAGGGGACUGAGGCUUCAGUGUGUUAGUAGAACAGGUUAGUGAACUCAGCCCCAGGACCAGCUGGAUGAGGGGACUGAGGCUUCAGUGUGUUAGUAGAACAGGUUAGUGAACUCAGCCCCAGGACCAGCUGGAUGAGGGGACUGAGGCUUCAGUGUGUUAGUAGAACAGGUUAGUGAACUCAGCCCCAGGACCAGCUGGAUGAGGGGACUGAGGCUUCAGUGUGUUAGUAGAACAGGUUAGUGAACUCAGCCCCAGGACCAGCUGGAUGAGGGGACUGAGGCUUCAGUGUGUUAGUAGAACAGGUUUGUGAACUCAGCACCAGGACCAGCUGGAUGAGGGGACUGAGGCUUCAGUGUGUUAGUAGAACAGGUUAGUGAACUCAGCACCAGGACCAGCUGGAUGAGGGGACUGAGGCUUCAGUGUGUUAGUAGAACAGGUUAGUGAACUCAGGACCAGCUGGAUGAGGGGACUGAGGCUUCAGUGUGUUAGUAGAACAGGUUAGUGAACUCAGGACCAGCUGGAUGAGGGGACUGAGGCUUCAGUGUGUUAGUAGAACAGGUUAGUGAACUCAGCACCAGGACCUGCUGGAUGAGGGGACUGAGGCUUCAGUGUG